UGCCUUUGUGUUACCCUUUCAAUUUUUAAGUAGUGAGAGUGGUGUCAAAAAAGGCAAACAGAAAUUCCUUAACGCUAUGCAAUACACCUUUGGAAUACAUUUACAAUGGUGUUUGACUGCUUUGGAAACAUUU